rnacentral:rRNA from 1 species
GGCGAACGGGUGAGUAACACGUGAGUGAUCUGCCCUUGACACCGGGAUAGCCCUGGGGAAACCCGGAUUAAUACCGGAUGGCCUGUCGAGCCCACGGGCUCGUUAGAAAAGAUGGCUUCGGCUUUCGGUCGAGGACGGAGCUUGCGGCGGAUUAGCUUGUUGGUGAGGUAAGCGGCUCACCAAGGCGACGAUCCGUAGCUGGUCUGAGAGGACGAUCAGCCAGACUGGGCACUGAGCCAGGCCAAACACUCAUACGGGAGGCAGGUGGGGAAUCUUGCGCNAAUGGGCGAAAGCCUGACGCAGCGACGCCGCGUGAGGGAACGAAGGCCUUCGGGUUGUAAACCUCUUUCAGGAGGGACGAAGCUACUCGGGUUAAUACCCCAGAGGGUGACGGUACCUCCAGAAGAAGCCCCGGCUAACUACGUGCCAGCCGCCGCGG